AGCAGAUUAUAUAACCAACAGUAUACUUAUUCUUAUGUUUUCUUAAUACAAAUCCUAGUAUGAAAUAUAAUUAAAUAUUCUUUGUUUACUGUAUGUUGCAACAAUGCAAGCGCGAGUCCUUCUGUUCAAGGUUAACUCGUUCAAGUUAUACAGUAUAUAAAUGGACGACGCCUCACCUGUCUAUCUGUGAACACUGAACAGUACCCUCGUCAAUACAACCUCUUGAAAACAGGAUGAAAAUCUUUUAUUUGAUGAUGGCCAUCCUCGUGGCCAUGAGCGGCCUAAUGUUGGGGUCGGCUCGAGCUAUGCCUGACCCGUACGCCCUGGCUGAUCCUGUUGCUCUUCCCCUGGCUGACCCUCUCGCUGACGCCCUGGCUGACCCCUGGAGAAGAUACCGUGGACAUGGACACCACCACCACCACCACCAUCGCCCUUAUCACCACUAUGGUUAAGGACCAAGUCUAUGAUUACAGGAAGCUUCAGUAAGGACGCCCAACGCUCAUCAACAAGAUACAACUCUGAACAUUCUUAGAAUCAUCUUUAUGUUAAUGUCUUCUUGUAUUUGCCAAUUAUUCUCAUCGUAUUUCAUUCUCUCUCCGUCUCUUCUCUAUUAAUUUCUCUAUCUCUCUUACAGAAAUUGUAAAUUUUCAAGUUCCUGGAGCCACUUUAUCCCCUGUAAUAGGAAAAUUUUAUAAAGUAAAUUUUGAUAAUUCGGGUCAACUGAUUGUCCUCACAUCUUUGGUUAUAUCCGUAUGACUCUUCAACAAUUUAGCCAAGAAACAGUGGUUCUUCAGGUAGCUCGGUAAACAUCAUGGAUUGUGUAAAUGAUGGUGAAAUAAACACUGCAAUAUAA